rnacentral:misc_RNA from 1 species
UCCUUUUUUUUUUUUUUUUUAUUAGUUGGACGCUCUCGACAUUUCUCUCUCUCUCCCCCUUUGAUAAAUAUUUCUCAUAUCACCCCUUUCGGGUAUUGUGGAAAAUUGCCCCCUAACAUUAUCUCGUCAUUCUCAUCAGUUUCCGGGUCUUCCCUUCUCUCCUCAAAUAUGUACUCAUAGCCACUCAAGUUAUCCCAGUCAUAUCUUCCUGAUCCUUGAUGUGUUUCACAUUUAUGAUGGCACAGAAAAUAUGAAGCUGUUCCCAACUCAUAUGCUGACAUAUCUGCAUCUCCCAUCGUUGGGUACUGAGAACUGCUGCUUUGGACAAUUUCUGGGGCAUCCUUGUCUUCUUUCUCGUAUAUGAGGCGGAUCCCACACUCCUUUACAUGUAAACCUGAUGCCAUUUCCGCUAUAACGUGCACCUCAUCCCCAGCUUCCAGCUGAUCUCCAAACGUCCAGUGGCUUAACCAUAACAUAUCUUGGGACACUUCUGGAAUCCCAUAGAAGGUUGGGCUAUAUGUCCACUUUACAGCCUUGGUUUUAUUGUUGAUUUUAGCGCAAUUGUCAUCGAUAUACCCACCAUCUCCAAGAUUCAUAUACAGAAUGCAUAAACUCAGACCUUUGAUCUUGUGACCAGGAACUGGUUGGAUGUCAAAAGAUAUUGAAGGACUCUCACUUUUUGGUCUAAACCACUCUGGAACUCUACUUCCUGGAAGAAAUAUGCUGAAUAUUCCACAUUCAUGCAGCACCUAUGCCAUAGGAAUUGUAAUUUGUAAUUAGCCAAAAUGGAUUUGGGACAUUGUAGACAUGAGAAAAUGUAUCAAGUGUAUUAGAGAUAAAAAUGAAACCAGAGUAGUUAGAUAUUACCUGAAUACUUGUCUUCAUUUCUGUGCAUGCCAGAGCAUUCGACAUUUCCACUUCAAUUCCUUUCAAAGAUUCCAAAUCGAACAAUCCCACAUUAUUGAGUAUUUCUGUGUUGAUUCCUAGUGGUUCUAAUUUGAAUAAACCUUGAACCUCAACCAGCUUUUCACAACCAAAAAUUUCCAAGUCUAGUGAUUUCAACAAGUUUGGCAGAUUUGUAAUCCUUUCUAAUGAUGUGCAGUCUUCUGCCUUCAAAGAGUUUAAACUUGUUGGAAGCUCAGGAAGUGAUUGAAGACUUACACACCGAUCUAAGACAAGGGACUCGAGCAUAAUGAGGCUGUUGAUGCUCUCUGGUACGCAACGAAUUGGGUUUCCACUUAGAUUUAGGUACUCUAAGGAAGGCAGGCAGCUAAGAUCUCCAGGAAUAGCAGUAUCUGAAAGGCUGCAGUCUGCAAGACUUAGGCUUACUAAAAAGUGAGGUAGGAAGGAUAAUGAAAAACUGGUUGAUUUUGCCCAUCUUUUUUGCAAUAGCCAAGACCACGAGGUUGAAUGCCACAAUGACAAACCAAGUUCCUUCAAAUCUCCAGUGCUGGAGUUCACUUGGUUUAUGGCAAUUCUGUCUGCAUGGAGCACCUUCAACGACUGCAACUUAGCAAGCUCCUUCGGUAGCUCAAAAAGAUUUGAGCAACCUGAUAUGGUAAGUUCUUCAAGAGAUUCCAGCAUAGUAAUUUCUUCUGGAAGCUUCUUGAGGCUUUUGCAGUCUCUUAAAUUCAAUAUUACAAGCCUCUCUAAGCCUCCAAUGGAUUCAUCAAUAUCAACCAAGCUUGUACAAUCUUUGAGCGCCAAUUUCUCAAGACUAGGGAGCCCUCUGAAGUCAGGGGUUCUAACAAGGCCAUGGGAA